UGAUUUUCGGUUAAUUGGGUGAUUUCUGCAAAGAAAAUGCAUCAUUUUGGGGUUAAAUUGUGUAUUUUUGCAGAGAGAAUGCUUGAUUUUCAUUUAAAUGAGGGAUUUCUUGCAGAGACAAUGCUUGAUUUUUGUUUAAAUGAGGGAUUUUGGCAGAGAACAUGCGUGAUUUUGGGGUUAAACGGGGGAUUUCUGCAAAGAAAAAAAAUCAUGAUUCUCAGGUAAAAUUGGGUGUAGUUGAAGGGAAAAUGCAUGAUUUUCGGGUUAAAUGGGGGAUUUCGGAAGAGAAAAUGCGUGUUGUUUGAGAUAAACGGGGGAUUUUUGUAGAGCGAAUGCAUGAUUUUCACGUUAAAUGGGGGAUUUUCCAAGAGAAAAUGUGUAAUUUCCAGGUUAAAUGGGGGGUUUUGGAAGAGAAAAUGUGUGACUUUUGGUUAAAUGGGGGUUUUCCAGAGAAAAUGCAUGACUUUCUGUUAAAUGGAGGAUUUUUGUGGUAAAAAUGCGUGGUUUCCAGGUUAAAGCAGGGAUUUUCGAUGAGAAAAUACAUGAUUUGGGGGUUAAUUUUUUUUUUUUUUUAAGGGAAAACUUGUGAUUUUUGAUUAAUUAUGUAUUUUUGAAGUGAAAAUGCGUGAUUUUCAGGUUACAUGGGAGAUUUUUUGAAGAGAAAAUGCGUGAUUUUCAGAUUAAAUGGGGGAUUGUUGAAGGGAAAAUGUGUGAUUUUCGGGUUAAAUGGGGGAUU
ensembl:lncRNA